rnacentral:lncRNA from 1 species
ACAAAGGUGACGGUGACACCGAGCAGGACAAGAGAGUCCAUCCCCAGGUCAGGAGAGGUCCAUCCCCAGCUCAGCAAAGGUCCAUCCCCAGGUCAAGAGAGGUCCAUCCAUCCACAUUCCAUCCCCUGCUGUCCAUCCAGAGCUCCUGGUGACCCUCUUGGGUGUCCCAAGGGUGACAAAGGUGAUGGUGACACCGAGCAGGACAAGAGUCCAUCCCCAGGUCAGGAGAGGUUCAUCCCAAGGACAGGAGAGUCCAUCCCCAGCUCAGCAAAGGUCCAUCCAUCCACAUUCCAUCCCCUGCUGUCCAUCCAGAGCUCCUGGUGACCCUCCUGGGUGUCCCAGGGGUGACAAAGGUGACGGUGACACCGAGCAGGACGAGAGAAUUCCAUCCCUGG